UGAGAGGAAAAGAAUAUCACAGCCGUGGGCGUGGCCAAAAACAACCCCCAAAAUACAGGUUCCAAGUCCCCUACCAAGGAGAUUCUCUGCUACCACUGGAAGUCCUAUUUUUCUGAUGCUUCUCUGUGAUCUGGGGCUGGUCUGAAUCUUAUUUUUUCCAUAAUAACACAACAGCGUCUUUCACCCUUGAUUUUUGUGGGCGCAGUGACAGGGGCUUAUUCCAUUCCAGACAGAAUAAGAUUACAAGAAAGUUUCCCCGUGUUCCCCUGAAAUCUGCCUCACUUCUGCCUGUUGAUUCACGUGCUGUCAUCCGAGAAAACUAGGGCGACGUGUAGAUCUUUGUCCAGCUAUUUCAAUGGGUUUGUAAUGACAGCUCAGAUCAGCUCUCUCUAGAGCGAAACGAAAAAGUCACAGCUCACUUCAGCACUUCCUGAAAUGACCCAGUCUUCCCGACCCCAUCGCCCUCCUCACCUUGUCUGGAAGAUCUCUGGAUGUCAGUGAUCCUCUUAAAACUUGGCACCUAGACUGAUGGCCGGCCACCGGCGGCCCUGCCAGGGCGACAAGGCAGGGCCAGCACCGCAGACGUCCCCGGCUUGGCUGCUGACCAUCCUAGGUGACAGCUCAGGGCCUUUUCACCUCUUGAAAAGAGAAAAGGAAUUUGUUUUUCUAAAAAUAGGAAGGUCUGGAAUUUAAUCUAAGCAAGAAGAUAAGAUGCACGGCCAUCUGUGGGACGGGAAGAGUUCCUGGCAGGGUCAUGCUGGCACGGGGGAGGGGGCUGCAGCCCCCCUCCUUUGACUUAGACGUGCCUCUCACUGCGUCCAGUUCUGUCUGUGUAACUGGAGGUCUGGGUGGGCUCUGUCUGAGCUUUGCAGCAUGACAGGCAGGAACCCCAGCUGCGUCACCAGCAGUGCUGCAUGUCACUCACCUCCAAGGGGUAGCGAUCACGUGGUGUGGGUUUGUCUCAGCAGCCCUGGCAGACCCCCUGACCAGCGACCAAGGCCAAGACCGCAGUGACUUAGAGCCAGCAGGCCCCUUUGAAUGAGCCCCGCGGGUGUGCUGGGGGACAGUGGGUCUCGGAGACGGUCCCCUCCUCAGGGUGCUCCCUGCUUCGGGUGGGGGCUGGCCACUCCCGCCCCAUCCCCUCCUCACCCUCCUCCCUCCCCUGCCUGUCCUCUUGAACUGUGCUGGGAGCUCAGGGACAGAUGGGGUUCGCUUCCUCCUUGGCACUGAAGUGUCCUGACGUUGAAAAAUGUCAAAAAAAAUAAACCGUAGGUGCCUGCCUCCUCCCAGCCCGGCUCUUGGCUUCCAGAGGCAGGAGCCCAAUCCUUAAAGAGACCCUUCCUCCUUGUGGAGCAACCUGGGCCUCUGCAGCCCCCGCCUGGGAAGGGCUGUGCUCCGGGCUGGUCCAAGGAUGCUCAGCCCACCAGCUUCAGGGGCAGGAUCCCCUCGCAGCAGGCAGUGGGUUUGUAGUGUUUGUACAGAGGCAGGAGGCAUCUUCAGUGGGAGGGACCUUCUUCUCGGCUCCUCUUUCCAAAAAAGCCCCCCACCCCACCCCCACAGUGGGCAGUAGCACCAGGCCUGGCUUCUGCCCGGGGAGCACAGGGGUCGGGCAGAGGGAUCGGGUGCCAUCCUGGGGAGGAUCCUGCCUUCCAGGGCAGGAAGGAAGCAGUGCCCGCCUUCACAGCUUCAGAUCCUAAAAGAAGGAGGAGGCCCACGGCUCCAGGGCCGGAGGGGACAUCACGCUGAUGUCAGCGAUGCUUGUUGCCUCUUUGGGGAGAACGUCUAAAGGUGACAGUGUGGCUCUGCAGCGUCACACUCGUGGCCCCAGCUGGUGUCCUCGGGCCUCCCUGGGCUUCUGGAGUUCCACCCUGAGCUUCUGCCAGCCUGCUGUGUGGCACGGAGCGGGUCACCAGCCUCUCUGAGUCUCAGUCUGUUCAUUUGUUGAAAGGUAGCCAGUGAGGAUCAGCUUGGGAAAGAGCNNNNNNNNNNNNNNNNNNNNNNNNNNNNNNNNNNNNAAUUUAUUUAGUCUCAACUUCCUGUUCUGCUCCUUUAACUGCUGGCCUCUAUCUUAAAGAGGGGCUCUUAGGGUAAUGAGGUUUCUUUCUUUUUUUUUUUUGGGGUCUUUUUUUAGGGCCGCUCCUGCAGCAUAUGGAGGUUCCCAGGCUAGGGGUCCAAUUGGAGCUGUAGCCGCCAGCCUACGCCACAGCCACAGCCACAGCCACAUCAGAUCCGAGCCGUGUCUGCAACCGACACCACAGCUCAUGGCAAUGCUGGACCCUUAACCCACUGAGAGAGGCCAGGGAUCGAACCCGCGUCCUCAUGGAUGCUGGUCAGGUUUGUUACCCACUGAGCCACCACGGGAACUCCCAGAAGGAGGCUUCUGAAACUUGAGAUGCGUUUGUGGAGUUUGGGUUUUGACUCUGGUGGGGGAUGAUCUUAUCUUGCUUUUUAACAGUGUCGCAAUGCUUUUCGUCCCGUGGUAUGCGGUAUAAACAGCAUAAACAGCUCCGAGGACAGGCUCGCCGCACAGCCUGCGGGGACUGGCAGUGUUGCAGCAGGGUUGGGAGUGCGGACUGAACCCUGGCUUUUGUCACCACUGUGUGUGCCUUAGGGCAUCCUCGCCCCCGUGUCAGCUCCCUCGGCGGGGAAGGCAGAGACGAUAGUUCCUGGUCUGUCGGGCUGGUGGGAGGACACAGAUAAUACGCAUACUCUGUGUGUCAUAAGCGGUCACUGGAGCUCAGCCAUUCGGUAACUGGCAAGAGCAAGCUGGUGGCCCUAAACUGUCACAUGCACGUUCUGAAAGAUAAGACGGUCUUUGGAAAAGCGUGUGGUAACUGUCCUGCUUCAAGUAAGUGAUGCUUCUGGGCCUCCCUGGGGGGACACACGAAGUAGUUUACCUGACCCAGCUCUACCUGUUCACGUGACACUCUUGUGUGCAAAGGGUGCCCAUGUGUGGUCCAGAGACCCCGUCCGUGGGUCCAUCAUGUGGUUGUGCAGUGUAGACAAGCUAAUUGCACACGGGCUCCCACAGGUAACCAUGACCUCUUCCUCGCCGUGUCCUGGGGAUGUCGUUGCCUCGCGCAAGCAUACGUACUGUAGUGAAGUGUCCCCAGAAGCAGACCUGGCAACGAGGAUUUGAGGGCGAGUGGCAAGUGGUUUACCUGGGAGGGGAUUCUGCAGAGCACUAGUUGGGGUGGGGGCGUGGGUGGGGGAGAAAAGGCAGCCAGUGCAGGAUACGUGUGUGCAGGUCACUGCUGUGUCACCUGGGGGUUACGUGCCCCACCCGCAGGGCUGGGAAGCAUGGAUGUUUCUCUUUCACUCCCAUCCAUUACUGGCUGAGGGCAGCUCGCGGGGGCAUCGAGUCCUGGCCACUCCACCCCAGCUGAGAGUCACGGGUGCCUAUAGAAAUGCUCUCUGUGUUUAUGGGGACAGUCUCUGCAGAGGGGACGCAGGUGGGAUAAAAAUGGCAUCAAUUAUAGAGGGAAGAUGGGAAGGAAGGAGCGUGUGGAGUCAGAUUCCUGGGUCUGUUGGGAGGGAGGGGGUGGCUUCAGAGAGCCGCUGGCUUUUGAAACACCCUUAAAUCUUAAAAUGUGAUGUAAGGGUAAUGCUGCUGAGCCUUCCGGGGGCUGAUCAGGCUCACAGGGUCUAUUCCAGCUCCACAGGGUCCCUGGGAGGUUGGAGUAAGCCAGGUAUCCCAGAGGGCAGCUGGAUGUGUGUCAGUUGCCAAGGCAACACAUGCAGGCUGGGGAGGGGCCCCUCUGGCGUGUCCUAGUAACCUACAAUUGAGCUGCUGGGUUUUCCCUGAGUUUGGUGACAUACAGUCUGGUUGACAGUCGAGUUGGGUGAGAGCUGAGGAGGCUGUUGAGAUGGGCUUGGCAUUUCCCCACCCGCCCUGCCUGUCCACUUCUCUCUCCUCCUUUUCAUCCAUCGUCAGCCUCCUCCUUUUCCCCACACACCUUCUGUUCUGGGAUAAACCAGCUGGUGCCUGGAAAUUCCAUGCAGUCUGACUUUAUAGAAAAAGAACACACGUUUGAAGAGCGGGUUCAAAUCCCAGCUCCGAGGCUUCAAGAAGGCUAUGCAUCCGUUCCAGUGGCGAGUCAGGAAUAAGUUUGCUAUGAGGACAUUGUGGAGUCUGUCAUAAUAAUAUGGUAGGAAUACAGCAGGUGCUCAGCAAAUGUUACCUCCCUCCCUCCUCUUGGUCAGUCCCUAGAAAACCAAAGCUCUAGAGGUCGGAAGGCCAUCUGCAGAAGUGAACUUUCCUACCUGGGUGGUGAUGCGCUCUUGCUUGGUGGUCACCACCAGCCCCCACCUCUUCCCCCCGCACCGAAUUCAUCCCGUCGUAACUUGAUUGAUCUCUGACUCUGGGUCAUCCUGGCACUUGUGUGUGUAAUUUAUACCGUGCUUUUAGAAUUCUCUAACAUGGAGUUCCUGCUGUGGCGCAGUAGAAUCGGUGGCAUCUUGGGACACAGGUUCAACCCCCUGCCUGGCACAGUGGGUUAGGGAUCUUUCGUUGCCACAGCUGCAGCUUAGGUAUGGCUCGGAUCUGAUCCCUGGCCCGGGAACUCCAUA
ensembl:lncRNA